UGGCGAAUAUUGGACAAUGGGCGCAAGCCUGAUCCAGCCAUUCCGCGUGCGUGACGAAGGCCUUCGGGUUGUAAACUCCUUUUGUCCGGGACGAAAAGUCCUUCGCUAAUACCCCGAGAUCAUGACGGUACCGUAAGAAUAAGCACCGGCUAACUACGUGCCAGCAGCCGCGGUAAUACGUAGGGUGCAAGCGUUACUCGGAAUUACUGGGCGUAAAGCGUGCGUAGGCGGUUUUUUAAGUCAGAUGUGAAAGCCCCGGGCUCAACCUGGGAACUGCAGUGGAGACUGCAAGGCUGGAGUGCGGUAGAGGGGAAUGGAAUUCCGGGUGUAGCAGUGAAAUGCGUAGAGAUCGGGAGGAACACCAAUGGCGAAGGCAGCCCCCUGGACCAGCACUGACACUGAGUCACGAAAGCGUGGGGAUCAAACA
rnacentral:rRNA from 1 species